rnacentral:rRNA from 1 species
GUGGGGAAUUUUGGACAAUGGGCGCAAGCCUGAUCCAGCAAUGCCGCGUGCAGGAAGAAGGCCUUCGGGUUGUAAACUGCUUUUGUACGGAACGAAACGGUCCUGGUUAAUACCUGGGGCUAAUGACGGUACCGUAAGAAUAAGCACCGGCUAACUACGUGCCAGCAGCCGCGGUAAUACGUAGGGUGCGAGCGUUAAUCGGAAUUACUGGGCGUAAAGCGUGCGCAGGCGGUGCUGUAAGACAGGCGUGAAAUCCCCGGGCUCAACCUGGGAAUUGCGAUUGUGACUGCAGUGCUGGAGUACGGCAGAGGGGGAUGGAAUUCCGCGUGUAGCAGUGAAAUGCGUAGAUAUGCGGAGGAACACCGAUGGCGAAGGCAAUCCCCUGGGCCUGCACUGACGCUCAUGCACGAAAGCGUGGGGAGCAAACAGGAUUAGAUACCCCUGUAGUCC